GGCAGUGUGGUCUAGUGGGUAAGACACUAGACUGGGAUUCAGGAAACCUUGAUUCUAUUCCAAGCUCUAACU
rnacentral:tRNA from 1 species